rnacentral:rRNA from 1 species
UACGUAGGGUGCAAGCGUUGUCCGGAAUUAUUGGGCGUAAAGAGCUCGUAGGCGGUUUGUCGCGUCGAAUGUGAAAACCCGGGGCUCAACCCCGGGCCUGCAUUCGAUACGGGCAGACUAGAGUUCGGUAGGGGAGUCUGGAAUUCCUGGUGUAGCGGUGAAAUGCGCAGAUAUCUACAGGAACGCCGAUGGUGAAGACGGUCCGCUGGGCAUGUCCUGACGCUGAGGCACGAAAGCGUGGGGAGCAAACAGG